GACAGCUCCAGUGGCCUAGUGGUUAGAAUGUCCACCUCUGAUGUGGGAGGUCGCAGGUUCGAACCCUGGCAGAGUCA